GAGAGAGAGAGUAGAUUGAAUUACCUUGCUGAUGCAGAGCCUCUACCUCCGUGAUGAUCGAUCUGAACCGGUCGGAAUCCACUCUAGAUAGAUCCUCCCUUCCAUCUGCGAGCAGGAGAAAUCCACCCAAUUGGGGAAAUGAAGAUUCCUACCCAGCAAAGAAAAGCCAUACUCUUUGACGCAGAAGAGGAGAGAAAGACGAAGGAGGGGGAUCCAUACCGACGAUUUGAUUCUUCACCGCGAGAUACCGGGAUCGCAGAGCUCGCCGCUCUAGGGUUUCUUCCCUGGUGUCCUCAGAAGCGGACGCGCCGCCUCCCCGGCUGCUCCCCUCCUCCGGCGCUCCACGGUCGGGCUCCUUCACGCGCUUCGCCAUAUCUCCGGCAGCAAGACAGAAUCAGAUCCUGCGGGAAGAACGGGGAGGAAGACGGAGCCCCCCUCGCCCAGAACAACCCUAACCCUAACCCUAACUCUAACCCUAAACCUGGGCUGCCCGACGAGUGGGCUUCCCUCUCCCACAAAUCUGCAUCAAUGGGCGCUCGUGGAAAAUGAGGACCUCGCCGGAGCCGGUGGAGGGUAUCUCCCCGGAGGAAAACCAGAGGAGCUCCCGAAGCUUUUCUCCAAAAAUUUGGGUCAGAGUGGCGGGCAACUGCGGAAAUUAUUUCCAAAACUGGAAGAAUCAAGUGAAGUUUUUUCCGGCGGCGAUGAGGUCGAUUGACCGGAAGAAGGGGGGGCUUUUUUUUGAACUGAAUCUCCUUCCCGCCCCUCCGCCGUUGCCCCUCCACCGCAGGAGCCUCUUCCUCUCCCGGCCGGCGGAGCCGCUGCAGCUGUUAUUCAGCCAUCAACGGACGGUCCGGAUCGACUGGAUGUAGCCCGUCCGGUGCAGAGAGCCGAAGGAACAUCUUAUUGAGCGAUGUUCCUCACCGUCUGUGGCAUAAUUGUCAUUAAUUGGAGGCGGAAGGGUAAAUUAUUUACGGUCUCCUCACGGGGGAAAGGGCUAGAAAGUUCCCCCUGAUCCGCAGCAGGGCGGCGAUUCUCGCCGCCGGAAAAACUCUGCCGCCAGCUCGCCGGCGGAAAAUGUAGGCAUCUCCGGUCGAUCUCCCCACGGCCAUAUCCGGCACCGGCGCCCAUUCUUCAUCUGGCCACUCGGCGGCGGCAGCGGCGGCGGCUACUGUCUCCUCCGAUCUCGGAGAAGAAGUCCGACGGUGAAUUCCUCGGUGAUUUCUAGCCAUAGCGAGGUUCUUACAUCCCCCCGAGCAAGCUAGGGUUCCGGCGAGGACGAACUCUCUGCGCAGGAUG
rnacentral:lncRNA from 1 species